CCUACGGGUGGCAGCAGUGGGGAAUAUUGCACAAUGGGGGAAACCCUGAUGCAGCGACGCCGCGUGAGUGAAGAAGUAUUUCGGUACGUAAAGCUCUAUCAGCAGGGAAGAAAAACCGGCCUUAGGGCCGCCAGACGGUACCUGACUAAGAAGCCCCGGCUAACUACGUGCCAGCAGCCGCGGUAAUACGUAGGGGGCAAGCGUUAUCCGGAUGUACUGGGUGUAAAGGGAGCGUAGACGGCAGCGCAAGUCUGGAGUGAAAUGCCGGGGCCCAACCCCGGGACUGCUCUUGGAACUGCGUGGCUAGAGUGCAGGAGGGGCAGGCGGAAUUCCUGGUGUAGCGGUGAAAUGCGUAGAUAUCAGGAGGAACACCGGUGGCGAAGGCGGCCUGCUGGACUGCAACUGACGUUGAGGCCCGAAAGCGUGGGGAGCAAACAGGAUUAGAUACCCGAGUAGUC
rnacentral:rRNA from 1 species